UCCCUGGUGGCUCAGUGGUAAAGAAUCUGCCUGCAAUGCAGGAGACUGGGGUUUGAUCCCUGGUUGGGAA
rnacentral:tRNA from 1 species